GACGGGGCCCGCACAAGCGGUGGAGUAUGUGGUUAAUUCGAUGCAACGCGAAGAACCUUACCUGGUCUUGACAUCCCGGAGACCCUUAGGAAACUAGGGGUGCUUCCAUCUGGAAGAAUCUGGAGACAGGUGCUGCAUGGCUGUCGUCAGCUCGUGUCGUGAGAUGUUGGGUUAAGUCCCGCAACGAGCGCAACCCUUGCCUUUAGUUGCCAGCAGUUCGGCUGGGCACUCUAAAGGGACUGCCGGUGUUAAACCGGAGGAAGGUGGGGAUGACGUCAAGUCCUCAUGGCCUUUAUGACCAGGGCUACACACGUACUACAAUGGCCGAUACAAAGGGCAGCGACACUGCGAGGUGAAGCCAAUCCCGUAAAAUCGGUCUCAGUCCGGAUUGGAGUCUGCAACUCGACUCCAUGAAGUUGGAAUCGCUAGUAAUCGUGGAUCGGCAUGCCACGGUGAAUACGUUCCCGGGCCUU
rnacentral:rRNA from 1 species